rnacentral:rRNA from 1 species
UACGUAGGGGGCUAGCGUUGUCCGGAAUCAUUGGGCGUAAAGAGCGUGUAGGCGGUCCGGUAAGUCCGCUGUGAAAGUCGGGGGCUCAACCCUCGAAUGCCGGUGGAUACUGUCGGGCUAGAGUGCGGAAGAGGCGAGUGGAAUUCCUGGUGUAGCGGUGAAAUGCGCAGAUAUCAGGAGGAACACCUAUUGCGAAGGCAGCUCGCUGGGACGUAACUGACGCUGAGACGCGAAAGCGUUGGGAGCAAACAGG